rnacentral:lncRNA from 1 species
GAAAAGAAGGAAACAAAGGAAGAACAAAACCUAGGUGGAGAAAAGUGUGGAAAAUCAAGGAAAAUAAGUGAAAAGGUAGGAUUUUUCAAUUUAAACUUGAAAUCUAUUUUCCUUAAGCAUUUCUCCUUAUUUUCCAUGGUUAAAUUACAUGUUUUCAUGAUGAAUUCAUGGCUGGUGAAAAAGGGUAUGGAGAGAGAAAGAUGUUGGAUUGAAUUGAUUUUAAGAUAUGUUAGUGUUUUUAGUUAAUUUAGCAUAUUUAGAAGCAAAACAACAAGAAAAGAAUCCAUUUUCCCCAUGAAUCUUCAUUGGCCGAAUCUUCCUUGAUGUGUGUGGGUGAUGGAUUGUUAUUAUUUCAAGAGAAAUGGCUUGGAAAAUGAUGAAUAAUGGUGAGAUAAAUUAAGUAGGAAAAAUCACGGUGUUAGUGCACUGUAAUAGCCGAAUUUUUCCAUGAAGAAAUGGAAGGGUUUUGAUGCUGAAAUUGGUGUUAUUUGAAUAAUGUUUGGUGAAUUGAGGUAUUAGAAAAGAAAUGGAGUAAUUUGGGAUUAAAUUGGACGUGUUAGUAAUUAAUCGGGUGAUAAGACGAAUUUGGCUGGUAUCGAAAUUUAGAUGGUUACUCGUGCAUUUUGCAUUCCAUAUCAUGCAUUAGUAGUCUAAAUUAGUUCAAUUUCGAUUUAGUACCAAUGUAGUGAGUUUCUCGAUUUUGUACUGUGUCAAGGUGGUGAGUCCGCCGAUAAAGGCAAGGGAAUUGCAUUCGAGGACCAGUAGUCUUAAUACUUUGAAAAUCCGCACUCUAGACAUUGUGAGUAAACUUACUGUCAUUUUAAUUAUCUAGGGUGGUUUUUAGAUGAUUUCAUGAAUUAUGUGGAAAAAGGGAUUUAAAAAGGUAAAUUUUCAUAUUUUAUGAAUAAAUGUGUUUCAAUGAAAUUAAUUUAUAAAUUGUUUUGAAAAAUAGAGUACACAGAGACUGCUAUUUGUUGCAAUUUGAUUGUUUAAAUUAAUUGGCUUAUGAUAAAUUGGGCAUGAUUGGCUGGUUGGCAAUUGUAUUGAAAUACGGAUUGUUUGUUUGCCUUGAAAGAUUGUGAAUUACAAUAAUUGCCAUAUCCUGUUAUUGAAUUUUAUUGAUUGGUGGGAUAAUUAUUAGUUUACUGCAGUAGGCGGGUUCUGUGGACCAGCCUAGGAGAGGGGCACGGUAACCCCAUUUAUAUGUGCUCACCUCGGGUGUAGAGGUGCGUAGGGUAGCUCCUGGGGUGAUAUUUGAGUUCACUUCACGCCGAACCACCACGUUAUGGUGAACUCAGCCAACGCCAAGGAACAGCUGUGUUUUUCUCAAACUAAAAAAUAUGUUUAUGUAUGUAUAAAAUUUAUUUUCAACAGCCUUGGCGGUCUCGGUAGGAUGCCUCGGCCAAGGUGUCCCCGAGGAUAGAUUUAUGGCAUAAGCCUAGUUUUUAUGAGAUUCAUAAGCCUCGUUACGUAUUUUGAAUGAAAUGUGUUCUAAUGCUGUGACCUAGUUUAUGAUGAUUUACUUUAUCAUCUCCGUGUACUCAACUCUAGAUGUUUAUGAUGAUGUCUAUUUACUCAUUGAGAUUUUAUAAUCUCACCACCCUCAUUUCCACCCAUUUCAGGCUAAGUAUAAGUUGUAGAUAGCUAAUAUCAUAGAAGGCUACAGUUGGCUUUACUUCCUCAAAAACUAUAGGUUUGCAGCCUUCGUUCAUUUUUGUCAUUUGGGGGUCCAUAUGUCACUGUAAAUUAAAUAUCAUACUCUAGUUAUCUGUACUACUGUAUGUAGAAAUUUAUUUUGCUUUUACACUGUAAAAAUUAUUUACGCAGUAUUCUAAAUAUAUUAUUUUAUAAGAAAGUAGAAUAUUUUGUUUAAUAUUUUUAUUUUAUUCUAACAGUCAUGAUUUCACUUUAAACAAAUGUUUUAAACAUCUAAAUUUAUUUUUGAUUUUGAAAUAUGUGUUUUGCACUUAUAUACUACAUUAUUAGUUGGUAUUGAAUUUUUUUUUUUAAAAUGACCGAAAUACCCCUGUGAGACGAAAAUUAUUAUUUUAUUUGUUUUGAGUUGGAAACAGUUUAAAAUAUUUUAGAACAUGAUUUUCAGCAAUGGUUACUCACGGGGGAAAUGAGAUACUGAUAUUAAGCCUUGUGGGGUCCUGGUCGACAUUCCGG